rnacentral:rRNA from 1 species
AACCGGAUUAGAUACCCUGGUAGUCCACGCUGUAAACGAUGUCGAUUUGGAGGUUGUGCCCUUGAGGCGUGGCUUCCGGAGCUAACGCGUUAAAUCGACCGCCUGGGGAGUACGGCCGCAAGGUUAAAACUCAAAUGAAUUGACGGGGGCCCGCACAAGCGGUGGAGCAUGUGGUUUAAUUCGAUGCAACGCGAAGAACCUUACCUACUCUUGACAUCCAGAGAACUUUCCAGAGAUGGAUUGGUGCCUUCGGGAACUCUGAGACAGGUGCUGCAUGGCUGUCGUCAGCUCGUGUUGUGAAAUGUUGGGUUAAGUCCCGCAACGAGCGCAACCCUUAUCCUUUGUUGCCAGCGGUUCGGCCGGGAACUCAAAGGAGACUGCCAGUGAUAAACUGGAGGAAGGUGGGGAUGACGUCAAGUCAUCAUGGCCCUUACGAGUAGGGCUACACACGUGCUACAAUGGCGUAUACAAAGAGAAGCGACCUCGCGAGAGCAAGCGGACCUCAUAAAGUACGUCGUAGUCCGGAUUGGAGUCUGCAACUCGACUCCAUGA